UUUCCACGGGAACCGUUGUGCCGUUGGACCUGGUAAGAAUCGUGACGUGGUGAUUGGUCAAUUAACACGGUGGCGAAAAUAAGUGAGUUGUCGUCCACCGGUUGUUGUUCAGGUAUUUGGACGUUUGUUGUCCACUCCUUAAAGUUUGAUUUAAUGUCGAACAGAAAGUUUUGACGGGACUCGAACUGUUAGCUGUUGAAAUUUGCGAGUUGGAACACCAGUGCAGUGUUUGUGUGAGUGUAUGUGACUGGCAGCGGGAGGGGAAGAGAGAGAGAGAGAGAGAGCUGACGAACAAGAGAAGUGACUCAAACAGCGC